rnacentral:lncRNA from 1 species
AUCUUUUGAACAGAGAAAAUUCUGGAGAUUCAUCACCCUCGCUUUCAUUCCCGUCAUCAGCUUUGACAAUGUCUUUCUUGUCGUCAGGCUUUUCCUUAAAGAACUUUUUAAAGAAACCCUCCCUUUCAUCCUCUUCACCAGGUUUAUCAUCAGCAAGCACUGCUCCAUUCGUCUCGUUCUUUUCAUUAGCCUGUCUUUUGUCAUCAGAUUUAUCCUUGAAAAGUUUCUUAAGAAACCCAUCUUUGUCCUCAUCAUCCAUUGCUUUAGGACCUUUCUCUUCCUCGUUUUUGCUGUCACGGAAUAGUUUCUUGAAGAACCCUUCUGAGUUUGCAUUUGAAUCCUCAUCCUCGUUUUUAUUCUCCCGUAAUAACCUCUUGAAAAAACUCUCUGAGUUUGCAUUCAGUUCCUCUUCAUCGCCCUUAUUGUCUCGUAACAGCCGCUUAAACAGCCCAUCUGAACUCGAUGUCAAUUCCUCAUUUUCUCCUUUACUACUUAAGAGCCUCUUAAAGAACCCCUCAGAACUGUUUGUUAUCUCCUCGUCUUCUGAUUUAUUGUCUUUCAUAAGGCGCUUAAAGAAACCCUCCGAGUUAGAUGUUGGCUCAUCACCGUCACCUUUGCUGUCCCUCAUGAGCUUCUUGAAGAAUCCUUCCUUUUCACUCUCUUCAUCAUCUUUGUCAACUGACUUUCUAAACAUCAAAGCAUCUCUAACUUUAGGACUUGGGAUAAGUUUCUUAAAAAUCUUAUUAUCCUCAGAAGGUAAUUGACUACCAUCAUCCUGCGUGCUUCUCCCUGGCGACGGUGAGAACGACAAAGACUUCUGGGAAGGCGGAGAUAAGUUCAACGAGAAGAGCUUCUGUUUCGAUGACAACAGUCUACUUAGGACCUGAUUCUUGCUCCCAGGAGUUGAAACCUCAUUCUGUGGACGCAUAAGAGGAGACCACUCACCCAUCAGAGUAGCUGCAAUCUGACACUUCUCCUGAAUCCUGCUAAUACCUUCAUUAUCAUCAGAAUCCUCCAGCUCAGCCAACAAAAACCAAUGCACUUUCAGCGCAAUCUUCAAUGACUUGCAAAUGAAUUGAGCAUCAGAGUUAUUGCAACAAUUCAAUGACUAAAAAGAGACAUCAUGUAUCAGAUAGAAUUCAAAUGGCGAAAACAUACAGGUAAUUGCCGUCUAUAAGUUAUCAAUUAAGACGCACUCACCCUUACUUCCUCCAUGGCAACAGUACUUGGAACACGACGAUGUUCCUUUUUACGUGGGACUGCUGGAUCAGGAAUACUUUCCAUUCGAAGUCCUGGGUCAGCCGUCACGACCACCCUUACCCACUCAAGAUCAGUGUUGAGACCAGUACUGGGGGCCUCAGACAGAACAUCAUCAAAUGGAUCACUCAGUGAUGCAAGAGCUGAAGUACAAUUCUCCACUGAGAGGCUCACAUUGACAAGCUUCACCUUCACCUCUGACUUGGGAGUCAUUGCUUGAUCAAUUGCUUGGGCAGUGGAUAGCGACAUUCUGUCAGCACUGUUGCGAUAAACCUCCUGAGUUGUCCACAGUGGAUAAGCCCAUGGAGGUGGCUUUUGCAAGAAUGCAUCCCCGUUGGCCAAUGGAAUGCCCCCUUUAGAAAGCUUCUGGGAAUUAGAUGUAUCUUUAGCACUGCCACAACGAAUUCCAAAAACAAAUAGAGCAAUGGGAGAGUGUUAUCAUGUACGUUUUACACUCGAUACGAUUAACGAAACCAAGAAAAGAUGGUAACUUCCUAUAAGAUUUAUCUUUAGCAUUGCCACAACAAACUUCAGAAAAAAGAACAAAGUGAGUAUUAUCAUGUAUAAUUUUACACUUGGAACUAAUAAUGGGGCAUAGAAAAGAAGAUGACUUCCUAGUAAAAGUAAUAGAUAAGUAGACAAGGAUUACAUUUAAGAAAUUUUAUAUUUACCUGGGUGUUUCUGCUUUCAAAACUUCUACGGAGAUCAUGUACGGCGCUUUUUCCCUAGAAUUCAGAAGAAUGGAUUCGUCUUCGGGAAUAUGAACAACACGAUAAACUCCUCUCCCCAUUGGAAAACAAAUUCCUGGAAGGUUAUUGGAAAGAAAAUGAGUAUCUGAUAACAAAGACAGUCACCACAACACAAUCAAUGUAGAUGAUAGAAAAAUACAUGAACCCAAAAAUGCUUCCAAAGGUUGAAGUGUAUAUGCUAAAAGGAUUGGACCACAUGAUUGUCUCAAGGUCAAAGGAAAUCCUAUAUAAGAUAAAUGAUAAAAGAGAACCAAGAACGAGGAAAAAAAUCUCCAAACAAGGGUGGAACGACUGUAUUAUGUUCUGAAAAUCUAAUCAGACAAGACAAGACAAUGACCAACAUCUACCCUACGUGGAACUUGUGUGGACAACAGAAAUAUGAUACAGAGGAGAUACUACUUUUUAAAGACAAGAAACAUGAUGUAGAUCUCAGCAAUAUAGAACGGGCUAAAUGUUUUCACAUACUCUCUCAGAGAAAAGCAUACGUGACCGAGAUAAUGUAUGCCAGCUCAAGAGAUAUGAGUUACACAAGUAAAGUAAACCUCCAAAUGAUAUCCCUUAAGAUCUAAUUUAAGAGAAUACCUCCGGUGAUUUCAGCUUCAGAUAAAUGAAAGUUAAUCUCUGCAAGAGACUAAAACCAAACGGAAGAAACAAGAAAUAUAGUCAGUUGCUUAAAUUUAACACUUGAAACUUAGUCAUAAAAAUGGAAAGUCAGGCAGAAAUGAUCACCUCCCGAAGAGCAAUCUUCCGAUUUUCAAUGGGAAAAAUAUCUACCAAGCCAUACGAUGUUUCACAUAACGCUUGUACAAACUCCAACGACUCAUGGUAAGCCCCUUUCCUGAAGUGUGAUGCGGUAUUGUUUGGUAGUGGGGGCUUACCAGAUGGAGUAUCAUCCCGCUGUCUAGGUGAACCUGGCCGCUUCUGCAAUGGUUACAUUUAGAAAGAUUGGUAUGAGCAGAAUCAAACACAUAUUGCAGUAAAGAAUUUCCGCAUAGAUAAGUAAUCAAUUGCAGUCGAGAACACCCUGUUUCAGCUAAUAUUUGCGUCAAGAAAAUUUCACAAAAAGUCGAGAUAUAUGAUUAUAUCCUACAAGAAUCUUGACAAAUGAAUCUGUAGAUAUGGAUCGGAACAAAGGCGAAUGUAAGGACAGUGCAGAUGACAGAAACAUAACGAGCAAGUCAAAUGAGAGCAAACCUCUUUGUGUUUCUUUGAUCCAAAUAUCUCAGAAUCUUCAACAGACUGGUCACGGUCUCUAAACAAUUUACGGAAAAAGUUCUCCGUCCCAGGACUGCUUUCAGCUAAGCCAUUGCUGGUAUUUCCAUUUUCUGAAGUAGGUUUUGCGUCUUCUGGGUGUAUACGGAAUAAUCUUUUGAACAGAGAAAAUUCUGGAGAUUCAUCACCCUCGCUUUCAUUCCCGUCAUCAGCUUUGACAAUGUCUUUCUUGUCGUCAGGCUUUUCCUUAAAGAACUUUUUAAAGAAACCCUCCCUUUCAUCCUCUUCACCAGGUUUAUCAUCAGCAAGCACUGCUCCAUUCGUCUCGUUCUUUUCAUUAGCCUGUCUUUUGUCAUCAGAUUUAUCCUUGAAAAGUUUCUUAAGAAACCCAUCUUUGUCCUCAUCAUCCAUUGCUUUAGGACCUUUCUCUUCCUCGUUUUUGC